rnacentral:rRNA from 1 species
UACGGAAGGCAGCAGUGGGGAAUAUUGCACAAUGGGCGCAAGCCUGAUGCAGCCAUGCCGCGUGUAUGAAGAAGGCCUUCGGGUUGUAAAGUACUUUCAGUCGUGAGGAAGGUGUUAAGGUUAAUAACCUUAGCAAUUGACGUUAGCGACAGAAGAAGCACCGGCUAACUCCGUGCCAGCAGCCGCGGUAAUACGGAGGGUGCGAGCGUUAAUCGGAAUUACUGGGCGUAAAGGGCAUGCAGGCGGUUAAUUAAGUUGGAUGUGAAAUCCCCGGGCUUAACCUGGGAAUGGCAUUCAAGACUGGUUAGCUAGAGUCUUGUAGAGGGGGUAGAAUUCCAUGUGUAGCGGUGAAAUGCGUAGAGAUGUGGAGGAAUACCGGUGGCGAAGGCGGCCCCUGGGACAAAGACUGACGCUCAUGUGCGAAAGCGUGGGGAGCAAACAGGAUUAGGAUACC